GAGAUCUACACCUGCAUCAAUAGUUGAC
rnacentral:sRNA from 1 species